GCCAUUAUGGCUCAGUUAGUUAGAGCAUCAUCCUGUGCACCCAAGAGUUGUGGGUUCAAUUCCCAGUUAGGGCA
rfam:Myotis lucifugus cont2.2352, whole genome shotgun sequence.